AUUGAACGCUGGCGGCAUGCUUUACACAUGCAAGUCGAACGGUAACAGGCCGCAAGGUGCUGACGAGUGGCGAACGGGUGAGUAAUGUAUCGGAACGUGCCCAGUCGUGGGGGAUAACGCAGCGAAAGCUGUGCUAAUACCGCAUACGAUCUAUGGAUGAAAGCGGGGGACCGUAAGGCCUCGCGCGAUUGGAGCGGCCGAUAUCAGAUUAGGUAGUUGGUGGGGUAAAGGCUCACCAAGCCGACGAUCUGUAGCUGGUCUGAGAGGACGACCAGCCACACUGGGACUGAGACACGGCCCAGACUCCUACGGGAGGCAGCAGUGGGGAAUUUUGGACAAUGGGCGCAAGCCUGAUCCAGCAAUGCCGCGUGCAGGACGAAGGCCUUCGGGUUGUAAACUGCUUUUGUACGGAGCGAAACGGCUCUCUCUAAUAAAGGGAGCUAAUGACGGUACCGUAAGAAUAAGCACCGGCUAGCUCCGUGCCAGCCGCCGCCGUAA
rnacentral:rRNA from 1 species